UACGGGAGGCAGCAGUGGGGAAUAUUGCACAAUGGGCGCAAGCCUGAUGCAGCCAUGCCGCGUGUAUGAAGAAGGCCUUCGGGUUGUAAAGUACUUUCAGUCGUGAGGAAGGUGUUAAGGUUAAUAACCUUAGCAAUUGACGUUAGCGACAGAAGAAGCACCGGCUAACUCCGUGCCAGCAGCCGCGGUAAUACGGAGGGUGCGAGCGUUAAUCGGAAUUACUGGGCGUAAAGGGCACGCAGGCGGUUAAUUAAGUUGGAUGUGAAAUCCCCGGGCUUAACCUGGGAAUGGCAUUCAAGACUGGUUAGCUAGAGUCUUGUAGAGGGGGUAGAAUUCCAUGUGUAGCGGUGAAAUGCGUAGAGAUGUGGAGGAAUACCGGGUGGCGAAGGCGGCCCCUGGGACAAAGGACUGACGCUCAUGUGCGAAAGCUGGGGAGCAAACAGGGAUUAGAUACC
rnacentral:rRNA from 1 species